UAUGAAUUUGAAGAUAAAAAUAAUUAAGUUAUGACCCAUCUUUUGAAAUCAUAAGGCUCUUAUCACUUUUUAAACACACUAGCCAAUAUUUAUUGCAAUUAUGGAAUACUUUUUCAUCUUGAUUGCCUAUUCAACCAAUUAUAUCCUUAAUUAACUUUCAGUGAUGCUUAAAAUAUUCCGAACCACAAUAAGCUAGUAGAUAUGGGUGAGAUAUUUGCGUAUAAAUAAAUGUCAGUACUUAUUCAUUGAAGGGGCUAAAUAAAAUAUACAUUGUAUUCAAUUACAAUUUUCAAAUAUUGAAAUUUUAAACAUCAAAAUGGUUAAGAGAUUCCACAUCAUGUUUAUAACAAAUUUGAAUGUUUGAAAAUUAAAAUGUUCAAACGUUUGUAUGGUAGAAAUUAUAUGUCUGACUAAUUCAAAAGCAAGUAUUUUGUUUUAAAAUGAAAUCUUGACAAAAUAUUGAUAUAUUAAAUUAUAGUAUAUACCAGUAGUAGACACUAGGUGAUAAUAUUAUAAUAAUUAAUAGAUUCAUUACUUUUGGUUAAAAUUGUAGUUUCGGUCUAUCUAUCUCUCCUUAGGUUACCUCCAAUGAUGAAUUUGAAUUGUGCUCUAAAGUUUAAACUUGUUGAUGUUUUUUUUUCAUUAGAGAAUGAUGAAUUGGGUGUUAAAGUGGAGAACUAGUUCUUAAUCACAGAAUGAAUUUUACUGCUACUUUUGUUGUUUUAGAAAGUGAGAAUUCCAAAUGAAUUUUUAAAAUGCUGGGAAAUUCAUAUUUCCUUGACAUUGUUAUGUUAGGCCGAGAAACGUUAAUCUUGUCAAGUCGAGCAAUUCUCUGGCAAGUAAUCUAGAUUACUAUGCAUGACAUUAAAAAAAUUAGACAGUGACUGAAAAGUGAAACCAAAAUUCUUUUGUUUCGUAAUUGAUUUAAGUGGCCGAAUUACUUUUAGAGCGAAGAAGCAACAGAAUAAUGCAGAAGAAAGACAGGACCCAACAAGGUGAAUUGAAGGGCAAGACGAGAAUGAUAAUGUUGUUAUGUAAAGGCAGAAAACAAGUGCAUGUGUUGUUUUGUUCCAUUGGCAUUUCCUACGAAACGAAAGGAAGCCAUGACAGGGACUUUUGUAAAGCGAGUCAUGAAAUCGUUGUGUGCAGCUCAUGGUAUGAGGUCUUCUUCCUCCUUGGCAAAGGUUAAAGUUGGAACUGAUAUACUCUCUAUUGCACCCAAUGUUUCUCUUCAAAUAGCUCGCACAUGGGACCAAGGUGUCGCUUCUAGCUUCUUAACCACUCCUCUCGUGGACAUCUUCAAGGACAAGAAAGUCGUCAUAUUUGGAAUCCCGGGUGCAUUCACAGGAGUCUGUUCAGAAGAACACGUUCCAACUUACAUGGAUAAUGCUGACAUGUUUAAGGCUAAGGGGAUCGAUUUUGUUAUCUGUGUUGCAAUUAACGAUCCAUAUACUAUGAAUGAGUGGGCAGAGAAGCUUCAAGGCAAAGAUACUGUGAAAACUAACUUUUUUCUUUCAAAUUGUUACUUAAAAUGAAACAGGUUAGUAGUUUCCCUCGCAUUUGAAUUUGUAAAGUGUUACUUUUUUGGCGUAAUGUUGUAUUUACAAUUUUACAUUUACCAAGCUUGCAUUCUUUUACUUCUGGGUACUUGCUACGAAUGUUGCUCUUUCAUUUUCUUUUUGAAAUUGGACUUCCAGAUUGAGUUUUAUGGGGACUUCGAUGGGAGCUUUCACAGAAGUUUGAAAUUAGUCACAGAUCUCUCUAAUGUUUUGCUUGGAACUCGUUCUGAAAGAUAUUAAAAGAGUAGAUGGUCAGCAUAUGUAGUAGAUGGAGUGAUUAAGGCUCUAAAUGUUGAAGAAGAUCCAUCUGUUGUUAAAGUUUCUGCUGCACAGACCAUUUUGGAACAGAUUUGAGGUUUCUACUGGUUUGUAUGUACGCAUAAAGUUGAUCUUACAGCGAGGUUGGUUUAUAAUCAGUAAAAUUGAAAUUAAAUCUUUGAACAUGAUUGAGGUUUAUGAUGUUGGUUUAUUUAUUUUUAGUUUAAACUUCAAAAGAAAUAGAUGAAUUAUCU